UUAACUUUAGGAGAUCCAACUGAACCAGGAUUCAUUUUCCCAACUGGAUUUUACCGCCGAUUCUACCGGGAACGAUACAGCGCCUAUAAAUACAUUGGGGAAAGGUCCGCCUGCGCCGCCUGCUCCUCUGUCACCUUCCCGAAUGGCAUAUUUAGUCAAUAAUCCAAACGUUACGGUGCGCAAGAGACCGUAACGCCAUUAAAAGAUGCCUAAUACCCAAUAAAACCCCGAUCCCCAUUCAGAAUAACUCGUCAACACUGUCAUCAAUCAACGCCCUAGCCUAAGCCCAUGUAGUCACAGCACAGACUUCGACCGUCACACCAUUUCUAUCAUCCUCAUCCGAUGUACCCGAUGCUUCCGGCAUAGUGAGCAACUUAUCCUUCAUAGAUUGGGGACAUGCGCGCACCUUGACCGGGUAUCGCUCGCGGACAGUGGCGUCCUUGUAGAAGACGAUGUAAUACCUCUGUGCGGCCAGGGUAGCCAAGCUUGAGAGCCAAGUACAAAUUAUUCGAUUAGAUUCGGGGAACAAUACAGCGAAUGCAGGUACACCUCCACAUAGGGAGGCUGAGUCUGCUCUUCUGUCAGCUUCCCGGCUGGAAACAUUACGGAAUGCUCCGUUAAUUACGGGGCGCGAGGAGAUCCCACUGAACCAGGAUUCCCCUUCAUUUUCCCAUCUCGAUUUUACCGCCGACAUAGGGAACGAUACAGCGAAUGCGCCUAUAAAUCCAUUUGGGAAAGCUCCGCCUGCUCCUCUGUCACCUUCCCGACUCGAAUAUUUAAUCAAUAAUCCAAAUGUUACGGUGCGCAAGGUAAAUAAAGACGAUAAUGUAGCAGGUAGCAACGCUGCAGAGCUGCGUUAUAUUUCGU